AAUAGAUACCCGGGUAGUCCACGCCGUAAACGGUGGGCACUAGAUGUGGGGCUCUUUCCAUGAGUUCCGCGUCGCAGCUAACGCAUUAAGUGCCCCGCCUGGGGAGUACGGCCGCAAGGCUAAAACUCAAAGGAAUUGACGGGGGCCCGCACAAGCGGCGGAGCAUGCGGAUUAAUUCGAUGCAACGCGAAGAACCUUACCAAGGCUUGACAUAUACGGUCUAUCCCUAGAGAUAGGGAGUGCUUCGGCGUCGUAUACAGGUGGUGCAUGGUUGUCGUCAGCUCGUGUCGUGAGAUGUUGGGUUAAGUCCCGCAACGAGCGCAACCCUCGUCCUAUGUUGCCAGCGGAUAAUGCCGGGGACUCAUGGGAGACUGCCGGGGUCAACUCGGAGGAAGGUGGGGAUGAGGUCAAAUCAUCAUGCCCCUUAUGUCUUGGGCCUCACGCAUGCUACAAUGGCCGGUACAAAGGGCUGCAAUACCGCGAGGUGGAGCGAAUCCCAAAAAGCCGGUCUCAGUUCGGA
rnacentral:rRNA from 1 species